AGCUGGGGAUGGGGCUGCCAAAGCUGCUUAAGGGAUUGGGAUUCUUAAUCCCCCUUAGAAAUUGAUGUCCAAAUCCCUAAAGUGGUGGCAAAUCCCACCCCAGAAGUUGAUUUUUCUUCAAGCCAGAGAGAAACACGGGCUGUAGGAGAGCAACACCGCCCGGUGCGGCCACUGCAUCUCCUCUCCAUGUUGAGAUGUUUCUUUCCCAAGCAUUAAGCCUUGGGGGUGCAGCAUUGCGCCCCAUCUGAGCCAUCCACCCCUGCAGGAAUCACUUCUGUCUGCAGAGGGGGAGCAGCCGCUCUUUGGGGAUCCACGCAUACUGCGUCGCUUUGGGAGCGAUCCCCGUCUGACUUAGCAAAGGGCUGAGCUGAUUUUACACAUGGCUGCCUUUCACACCUUGAAGAAGAGGCAGUUUCCUUCUCGAUGAGCAGCACAUAUGGCAGCCAUUGAUGAUUUGCCAAACGGAAUCACAGCACGGCCUGGGUUGAAAAGGACCGCAGUGCUCAUCCCGUUCCACCCCCCUGCUAUGUGAUGGUCGCCAACCAGCAGCCCGGGCUGCCCAGAGCCACAUCCAGCCUGGCCUUGGAUGCCUGCAGGGAUGGGGCACCCACAAAAUGAUCGACUGUCUCCAUUUCCACGUGUGUGAGCUGCGAACGCUGCGCGGGGGGCUGCUUUACACCAUCAACAAAGGUCACAGGGAAGGAAAAUCCCGGGGCACAAACGCUGCGGGCGCCCGGCGCAUCCCUUGGCUGCUGAUCGUCCCAAACAUCCUCACUGUGAGGCAGCCAGGAGCUGUCGGUUUGAAUGACGCUUUAAUUCAGGUUAAUGAAGGGGUUGAGGCAAGAACAAACAAGCAGACAGCCUGGAAGCGAGCGAGGGCAGAGCUGAACCUGAGCUGACAGUUUCUCUUUUUUUUUUCCAUACAACUGUGCUUGUUGGGAUGCGCUCAUGAAAUAUAAAUGUGAGAGCCCGGGGAUGAGCGCAGGGCCUGAGCGCGUGGCCGUUCUACCACGGCUGUUGUUAAUAAUGUAUGGCUUCCACACUGCAG
ensembl:lncRNA